CGCAUCUGUGCAUGCAGCAUAUCAAUAAGCGGAGGAAAAGAAACUAACAAGGAUUCCCUCAGUAACGGCGAGUGAAGCGGGAAGAGCUCAAAUUUGAAAUCUUGCAAGGUUUACCUUUCACGAAUUGUAGUUUAAAGAAGUGUUUUCUGUUACGAUCGUAAUAUAAGUUCUUUGGAAUAGGACAUCACAGAGGGUGAGAAUCCCGUCUAUGAUUGCGAUUUGUAGCUUUGUGAUACACUUUCAAAGAGUCGGGUUGUUUGGGAAUGCAGCCCAAAACGGGAGGUAAAUUUCUUCUAAGGCUAAAUAUUGGCGAGAGACCGAUAGCGAACAAGUACCGUGAGGGAAAGAUGAAAAGAACUUUGAAAAGAGAGUUAAAUAGUACGUGAAAUUGUCAAAAGGGAAGCGUUUAACACCAGUGUUGUUUUCUGAAAAUCAACCUCUGUUAGCUUUAUGCAUGUUUGUUUAGACCUAAUCAGCUAUCUUGCAUGUUCUAUUGUUUGCAGUGGUGCACCUUUCAGUUUACAGGUCAACAUCAGUUUUUUUUACCGUAAAAAAGUUAAAGAAAGGUAGCUCAUGGCUCCGGUCGUGAGUGUUAUAGUCUUUUUCCUAUGCGGUAGGAGAGACUGAGGUCUGCAGUGUAGGCUAUUUGGCUAGAUACUCAGGUGCUAUGUGAUACCAUUUCAUAAACAACUUGUUGAUUAUGUUUUGUCUAUUGCAUACUCGCUUGUACUAUCAUACCUACGCUUAGGAUGUUGACGAUCAGCUGAGCGCG
rnacentral:rRNA from 1 species